GGGUCAGUAGGUUGGUCGUGCCACCGGUACGUACUGGUCUCACUGAUUCCUCCUUCCUGAAGAACCGUAAUGCCAUUAAUUUGGUGUUGCGGGGAAACAGGACUGUUACUUUGAAAAAAUUAGAGUGUUUAGAGCAAGCUAACGCUUGAAUACAAUAGCAUGGAAUAAUGAAAUAGGACGAUCGAUCCUAUUUUGUUGGUUUCUAGGAUUGACGUA
rnacentral:rRNA from 1 species